CCCUUAGAUGUUCUGGGCUGCACGCGCGCUACACUGAUGCACUCAACGAGUUUACGACCUUGCCCGAUAGGGUUGGGUAAUCUUUUUAAAAUGCAUCGUGAUGGGGAUAGAUUAUUGCAAUUAUUAAUCUUCAACGAGGAAUUCCUAGUAAGCGCGAGUCAUCAGCUCGUGCUGAUUACGUCCCUGCCCUUUGUACACACCGCCCGUCGCUCCUACCGAUUGAGUGCUCAGGUGAAUAAUUCGGACUGCAGCAAUGUUUGGAUCCCGAACGUUGCAGCGGAAAGUUUAGUGAACCUUAUCACUUAGAGGAAGGAGAAGUCGGAACA
rnacentral:rRNA from 1 species